ensembl:lncRNA
GUAAGUGUUAUUUAUCUAUUCUUUUGCUUUGGCUUUAUAAUGCUUUGUUCUUCCACCCCCCCUCCCCCCCCCCCAAACUUUCUCUCCUUUUUGGAAUACAGGCCUUAUUUGAAGUCCAUUGGAUUUUUCCAUCAACUCUAACGAGACCUUGGAUCAAGCCCUAAACACAGAUAAGGAUUUUGUUUCAUAAGGUUGUAUCUGCCCUCUUAUGAUCUCCAUGCCUUCUGCAUUUGCUGAAGAGUUUGGCAUAUCCCUGCAUACUACAUUUGAAGGAUGUUACAGGAGUAAGUGGCAUCCAGCUUGAAAUACUAACAUGCUCGUACAUCAUCUGGCUGUUGCUUCAGAUCCUCCUGAGCAUCUUGCCCAGAAGUGACCUCCAGAAUGCCUAUGUGCUAGUACAGAUUAAAUGUUCAGACAAAACGUGUGAGCAACAGAGGAGACUGUGCUGUAUGAAGCUGUUCUCCAAGGACAUUCUUCCACUUGUCCCUUCCACAAGAUCUGAAGAAACAUCUGGACAAGGAUUCAUCACGUGACUUUAAAUAUGCUGAUAUUUGACUUCAGUGACAUGUUCUGAUGUCCCUUCAAAAUGAAGCACCUACCAAAUGAGGAUUUAAUUUAGAUUUAUGAGUGUGUUUAUCGUCUAUUAAUGAAGUACUACAUAAUAACUCAAACCACAUUUAUUGAGGCUGUUGUGAUUAUGUAACGGGGUAUUAUGUUUCUAAUAAUUAGCUGGCACCAUUCAAUUACAUAUGAAUUAAAGCAGUUGCUGAGUUUACUGAGGAGCCAGGAGUUGUUCUUAGCAUGAUUUUGGUGUUGGCAACUUCGUGCUCAGGAGGUGAGGUUUUAUGCUAGGUGACAGCUGCCCAUACUUUUGCCUUAUGUCUUCAUACUUGGCAUGUAAAGGUCAUCCUGAAAAUGGGAGACCAAGAAAUCUGGAUAUCAGGGAUUCAGGAAUAGGGAGGUGGGGACACAGUCCCAGCUUAAUGCAGCAGGAAGUCAGGUGGGCCAGCAUGUGUCUUCUGAAUUUAGUCUCUUGUUUCAUGUAGGACUGCAGGUGGAAACCCUAUUCCAUAGCCCAGGAGAAUCUCUUAACCACUUGGUCAGCAUCCCCCCUGUGGUGAGGGAGUCUGUUUUUACAAAAGAAAUCCAAACCUUUGAAAGAUCUUUUCAUCAUAAUGUAGAAAAGGAACAUUUAUGAAAUCUCAAUUUCAUGGGGUGGGAAAAUUGUUUCCCUCUUUGCUCUAGAGCAGAUUGAUAAAAGGCUCAUGAUAGCAAUUGAACGCUGGGGAAAUUUUUGAUCUGUGCAGCUGUACAUAAUCCGUAUUAUUUUUACAAGUCACUGGAGGCAUUUAGUAGGGUCAACAUGGUAAGAAAUCUGGACGUGAAAGUGAAACAAAGUGUCUGUCAGAGGGGCCAGAUUUUAAUUGGAAACUAAAUUUAAUUUUAGAGAAAGAGGAAAAUACCACACUUCUAAUGAGAUCCAGGGCACUUCAGAGAGCAGCCUGCAAAGAAUAUUUAAAUAGAAAAGUCCUGUUCAGAAAGACCUGUAGUAAAUGGCUCGGUACUGUAGGUUGAUAAGUACACAUGAGCUCAUGCCUCACAAAUGAGAAACCAUAUAUGAAACAUACUGAUGCCUUAAAGUCAGAUUUUGAGUCUAAUCCUAACUUUGACCAGGAAACAUUCAGUGUCACUUUUUGGAGUUGUUCAAAUAAGUUGAGAAGUGUUUUAUUCUAUAAAAUGUUUGGAAGGGUUGUUGUUGUUUCUUUUGUUUUUUUUUUUUUUAAUGUGAAAGUAGCAAACAAUAAUUAGAAAAUUUCACCUAAAAGAGAUGCUUUUAACUAAAAAACAAAUUAA